rnacentral:misc_RNA from 1 species
GAUGAUGAUUUCGAAACAGCUGGAGCACCAUCACCACCUUGAACCACAGGUCUCCAACUCCUUCCAACAUGUAUGACCUUUGAUGCUUCAUUUACGAUGACCUUCCUUAGGAGUCCAGGGUUAUGCAUACCUUGCACCUGUAAUUCAUCAACUGGUGCAGCUCUUCCACGUGCUAUACUUUCAACUCUGAAGGUGUGCAGUCCAAGCAUUGACUUGCUCAAUAAUGAUAUCUAUCAC